rfam:Brassica napus, WGS project CCCW01000000 data, contig: 5426
GGAAUAUAAGAACCCGUCUCUUAACUUUUAACUAAAAAAAUUAAGAACCGACUUUUAAAACUCUUAUUUAAGAACCGACUUUUAGUUUUUUUAGUUAAAAGUUAAGAGACGGGUUCUUAUAUUCC